rnacentral:rRNA from 1 species
GACGAACGCUGGCGGCGUGCUUAACACAUGCAAGUCGAACGGUGAAGCGCCUUCCUUUUUGGUGGGUGUGGAUGAGUGGCGAACGGGUGAGUAACACGUGAGUCACCUGCCCCCUUCUUCUGGAUAACCGCAUGAAAGUGUGGCUAAUACGGGAUAUUCUGGGUCUGUCGCAUGAUGGGUCUGGGAAAGAUAUUGUUUCGGUGGGGGAUGGGCUCGCGGCCUAUCAGCUUGUUGGUGGGGUGAUGGCCUACCAAGGCGGUGACGGGUAGCCGGCCUGAGAGGGUGGACGGUCACACAGGGACUGAGACACGGCCCAGACUCCUACGGGAGGCAGCAGUGGGGAAUAUUGCACAAUGGGCGUAAGCCUGAUGCAGCGACGCCGCGUGAGGGAUGGAGGCCUUCGGGUUGUGAACCUCUUUCGCCAGUAAAGCAGGCCUGCCUCGUUUGUGGGUGGAUUGACGGUAGCUGGAUAAGAAGCGCCGGCUAACUACGUG